UAGGGAGGUAUCCAAAAUAUGUUUCCCCAAGAUGCGUAAUAUGUUCCGGGAGUAUAAUUUUUUCACCGCGAAUUCGGUUUAUAGUUAUUAAAAUGUGCCAUUUUCUUGUAGUUUGCGAACGAUUAAUUAAAAAUCUUUGCACUCUACCGGAAGGAAAAAACUUACAAAAAAUAUAACACAAUCGAAAUAUGCAUUAAUUGUCACGCGCGGACUUUAUAGAAAUA